AGUGAACGCUGGCGGUAGGCCUAACACAUGCAAGUCGAACGGCAGCACAGUAAGAGCUUGCUCUUACGGGUGGCGAGUGGCGGACGGGUGAGGAAUACAUCGGAAUCUACUUUUUCGUGGGGGAUAACGUCGGGAAACUUACGCUAAUACCGCAUACGACCUACGGGUGAAAGCAGGGGAUCUUCGGACCUUGCGCGAUUGAAUGAGCCGAUGUCGGAUUAGCUAGUUGGCGGGGUAAAGGCCCACCAAGGCGACGUUCCGUAGCUGGUCUGAGAGGAUGAUCAGCCACACUGGAACUGAGACACGGUCCAGACUCCUACGGGAGGCAGCAGUGGGGAAUAUUGGACAAUGGGCGCAAGCCUGAUCCAGCCAUACCGCGUGGGUGAAGAAGGCCUUCGGGUUGUAAAGCCCUUUUGUUGGGAAAGAAAAGCAGCAGGUUAAUACCCCGCUGUUCUGACGGUACCCAAAGAAUAAGCACCGGCUAACUUCGUG
rnacentral:rRNA from 1 species